AGCAGCCGCGGUAAUUCCAGCUCCAAUAGCGUAUAUUAAAGUUGUUGCAGUUAAAAAGCUCGUAGUUGAAUUUCGGGGUCAGCAGGUUGGUCGUGCCACUGGUAUGAACUGGCCUCGCUGAUUCCUCCUUCUUGAAGAACCGUGAUGCCAUUAAUUUGGUGUUGCGGGGAAACAGGACUGUUACUUUGAAAAAAUUAGAGUGUUUAAAGCAGGCUAACGCUUGAAUACAUUAGCAUGGAAUAAUAAAAUAGGACGUUUGAUCCUAUUUUGUUGGUUUCUAGGGUUGACGUAAUGAUUAAUAGGGAUAGUUGGGGGCAUUAGUAUUCAAUUGUCAGAGGUGAAAUUCUUGGAUUUAUUGAAGACUAACUACUGCGAAAGCAUUUGCCAAGGAUGUUUUCAUUAAUCAAGAACGAAAGUUAGGGGAUCGAAGACGAUCAGAUACCGUCGUAGUCUUAACCAUAAACUAUGCCGACUAGGGAUCGGAUGAUGUUAAUUUUUUAAUGACUCA
rnacentral:rRNA from 1 species